rnacentral:rRNA from 1 species
UUAACCGUAUAGGGGAGCCGGAGGGAAACCGAGUCUUAACUGGGCGUUAAGUUGCAGGGUAUAGACCCGAAACCCGGUGAUCUAGCCAUGGGCAGGUUGAAGGUUGGGUAACACUAACUGGAGGACCGAACCGACUAAUGUUGAAAAAUUAGCGGAUGACCUGUGGCUGGGGGUGAAAGGCCAAUCAAACCGGGAGAUAGCUGGUUCUCCCCGAAAGCUAUUUAGGUAGCGCCUCGUGAACUCAUCUUCGGGGGUAGAGCACUGUUUCGGCUAGGGGGUCAUCCCGACUUACCAACCCGAUGCAAACUGCGAAUACCGAAGAAUGUUAUCACGGGAGACACACGGCGGGUGCUAACGUCCGUCGUGAAGAGGGAAACAACCCAGACCGCCAGCUAAGGUCCCAAAGUCAUGGUUAAGUGGGAAACGAUGUGGGAAGGCCCAGACAGCCAGGAUGUUGGCUUAGAAGCAGCCAUCAUUUAAAGAAAGCGUAAUAGCUCACUGGUCGAGUCGGCCUGCGCGGAAGAUGUAACGGGGCUAAACCAUGCACCGAAGCUGCGGCAGCGACGCUGAUGCGUUGUUGGGUAGGGGAGCGUUCUGUAAGCCUGUGAAGGUGGCCUGUGAGGGUUGCUGGAGGUAUCAGAAGUGCGAAUGCUGACAUAAGUAACGAUAAAGCGGGUGAAAAGCCCGCUCGCCGGAAGACCAAGGGUUCCUGUCCAACGUUAAUCGGGGCAGGGUGAGUCGACCCCUAAGGCGAGGCCGAAAGGCGUAGUCGAUGGGAAACGGGUUAAUAUUCCCGUACUUGGUGUUACUGCGAAGGGGGGACGGAGAAGGCUAUGUUGGCCGGGCGACGGUUGUCCCGGUUUAAGCGUGUAGGCUGGUUUUCCAGGCAAAUCCGGAAAAUCAAGGCUGAGGCGUGAUGACGAGGCACUACGGUGCUGAAGCAACAAAUGCCCUGCUUCCAGGAAAAGCCUCUAAGCAUCAGGUAACAUCAAAUCGUACCCCAAACCGACACAGGUGGUCAGGUAGAGAAUACCAAGGCGCUUGAGAGAACUCGGGUGAAGGAACUAGGCAAAAUGGUGCCGUAACUUCGGGAGAAGGCACGCUGACACGUAGGUGAAGUGAUUUACUCA